rnacentral:misc_RNA from 1 species
GAUGAAGAACGUAGCGAAAUGCGAUACUUGGUGUGAAUUGCAGAAUCCCGUGAACCAUCGAGUCUUUGAACGCAAGUUGCGCCCGAAGCCAUCAGGUUGAGGGCACGUCUGCCUGGGCGUCACAUAUCGUUGCCCAAUGCCUAUUGCAGUGCAAUAGGAAUUUCUAGGGCGAAUGAUGGCUUCCCGUGAGCGUUGUUGCCUCGCGGUUGGUUGAAAAUCGAGUCCUUGGUAGGGUGUGCCAUGGUAGAUGGUGGUCGAGUUAGAACGAUACCGAUCAUGUGCAUGCUCCCCAAAAUAUGGCCUCUAUGACCCACACGCGUCUUUUGACGCUCAUGACGAGACCUCAGGUCAGGCGGGGCUACCAGCUGAAUUUAAGCAUAUCAAUAUGCGGAGGA